UACGUAGGGUGCAGGCGUUAAUCGGAAUUACUGGGCGUAAAGCGUGCGCAGGCGGUCUUUUAAGUCAGAUGUGAAAUCCCCGGGCUCAACCUGGGAACUGCAUUUGUGACUGCAUGGCUGGAGUGCGGCAGAGGGGGAUGGAAUUCCGCGUGUAGCAGUGAAAUGCGUAGAUAUGCGGAGGAACACCGAUGGCGAAGGCAAUCCCCUGGGCCUGCACUGACGCUCAUGCACGAAAGCGUGGGGAGCAAACAGG
rnacentral:rRNA from 1 species